rnacentral:rRNA from 1 species
ACAUCCACCUAAGGGCGGGCAGUAAAUUUCUAUUUUAUUUCAAGCUUUACCACGACCUCUGAUACUGUUUUACCAAUAUCUGCUGGUGAUUUAACGGUAUAAACACCUGCUGCUUCCAGAGCUUUAAAUUUCUCAGCGGCUGUUCCUUUACCGCCAGAAAUAAUUGCACCGGCGUGGCCCAUGCGUUUUCCUGCAGGCGCUGUGACACCUGCGAU